rnacentral:rRNA from 1 species
AACCUGCGGAGGGAUCAUUACACAAUAAAAUACGAAGGCCGUUCGCGGCUGGACUAUUUAUUACCCUUGUCUUUUGCGCACUUGUUGUUUCCUGGGCGGGUUCGCUCGCCACCAGGACCACAAUAUAAACCUUUUUUAUGCAGUUGCAAUCAGCGUCAGUAUAACAAAUGUAAAUCAUUUACAACUUUCAACAACGGAUCUCUUGGUUCUGGCAUCGAUGAAGAACGCAGCGAAAUGCGAUACGUAGUGUGAAUUGCAGAAUUCAGUGAAUCAUCGAAUCUUUGAACGCACAUUGCGCCCUUUGGUAUUCCAAAGGGCAUGCCUGUUCGAGCGUCAUUUGUACCCUCAAGCUUUGCUUGGUGUUGGGCGUUUUUGUCUUUGGCCCGCCAAAGACUCGCCUUAAAAUGAUUGGCAGCCGGCCUACUGGUUUCGCAGCGCAGCACAUUUUUGCGCUUGCAAUCAGCAAAAGAGGACGGCAAUCCAUCAAGACUCCUUCUCACGUUUGACCUCGGAUCAGGUAGGGAUACCCGCUGAACUUAAGCAUAUCAAUAAGCGGAGG